rnacentral:rRNA from 1 species
UACGUAGGGUGCGAGCGUUGUCCGGAAUUACUGGGCGUAAAGAGCUCGUAGGUGGUUUGUCGCGUUGUUCGUGAAAACCGGGGGCUUAACCCUCGGCGUGCGGGCGAUACGGGCAGACUUGAGUACUGCAGGGGGAGACUGGAAUUCCUGGUGUAGCGGUGGAAUGCGCAGAUAUCAGGAGGAACACCGGUGGCGAAGGCGGGUCUCUGGGCAGUAACUGACGCUGAGGAGCGAAAGCGUGGGGAGCGAACAGG